rnacentral:snRNA from 1 species
AUGCUGGCUUUGGCAGCACAUAUAUUAAAAUUGUAUAGAGAAGGUUAGCAUGGCCCCUCUGUAAGGAUGACAUGGAAAUUUGUGAAGCAUUCCACAUAAGU